AUACGAAGGGGGCUAGCGUUGCUCGGAAUGACUGGGCGUAAAGGGCGUGUAGGUCGGUUUACACAGUCAGAUGUGAAAUCCCCCGGGCUUAACCUGGGAGCUGCAUUUGAGACGUUAAGACUAGAGUGUGAGAGAGGGUUGUGGAAUUCCCAGUGUAGAGGUGAAAUUCGUAGAUAUUGGGAAGAACACCGGUGGCGAAGGCGGCAACCUGGCUCAUUACUGACGCUGAGGCGCGAAAGCGUGGGGAGC
rnacentral:rRNA from 1 species